UGUGGAGUGAUUGAUUAUAACCCUAUUUGAUUUUGAUGAGCUCAAAGUAUUUGAGUAUAUCUUAUGUUUACUAAUGAAUUCAAUCUAGUGUUUCAGUGAUAUCCUUGUAAAUUUAUGGUUAAGUGUCUCUAGAUUUGGUUCAAGACAAUUUGGAUAAGUUAAGAAGUCAAUAUGAACCAAAGUCUGAGACUCGAGUCGACUCCGGGAUAUUACGAGUCGACUCCAAGCAUAUCAGAAGCACUGGCACAGGCUCGAGUCG
rnacentral:lncRNA from 1 species